rnacentral:rRNA from 1 species
GACGGACGCUGGCGGCGUGCUUAACACAUGCAAGUCGAACGGAAAGGCCCUGCUUUUGUGGGGUGCUCGAGUGGCGAACGGGUGAGUAACACGUGAGUAACCUGCCCUUGACUUUGGGAUAACUUCAGGAAACUGGGGCUAAUACCGGAUAGGAGCUCCUGCUGCAUGGUGGGGGUUGGAAAGUUUCGGCGGUUGGGGAUGGACUCGCGGCUUAUCAGCUUGUUGGUGGGGUAGUGGCUUACCAAGGCUUUGACGGGUAGCCGGCCUGAGAGGGUGACCGGCCACAUUGGGACUGAGAUACGGCCCAGACCCCUACGGGAGGCAGCAGUGGGGAAUAUUGCACAAUGGGCGGAAGCCUGAUGCAGCAACGCCGCGUGCGGGAUGACGGCCUUCGGGUUGUAAACCGCUUUCGCCUGUGACGAAGCGUGAGUGACGGUAAUGGGUAAAGAAGCACCGGCUAACUACGUG